UUUUUCAUUUCAUUCGACGUUUCUUUUUUAUUUUUCUUCUUCUCUCUGAAAAAUCUAACAGGCGAAAUCACGAGAGAUUUUUUUUUCCUCAUCGUCUUCUCCUCUGUCCGGCGAUUGAAACACCGGGGCGACCGUCUCCUCGUCGUCUCCUCGUCUCCUCGUCUCGUCGUCUACUCCGGAUCCACCGAUUAUCAUCGUCUCCUCUGUCUCGCGAAGUCUAGAGAUCUCCUCUGUGUCGCGAAGCUCAAGAUCUCGUCGUCUUCUCUGUCUCCUCUGUCUCGUCGGCUAGGUUGAAUACGAUCCAAGGAUCAUUGGUUAUCGUCAACUUUUAGAUGUAUUCUGGUCUAGUCAUGAUUCUAGACAAGUGUUUGGACAAGGUCCUGAUGUGGGUAAUCAAUACAGAUCGUGUAUUUUCACUAAUUCUACAGAAGAGUUGAGACUGGCUUCUACUAGCAAAGAAAGGGAGCAGUGUUUUCAGUGUUCAGUGUUUUCUUCUUCUUUCUUUCUGAACUCUCAUCUCUCACAGUAUGCUUUUCGUUUUCUUGUAAGCAGCAGAUUCAUUUAGACUUUCAUUGUAUCAAUAUGGUAUUGAAUUUUGUGAACCCGUGAUGUUUAUUAUUUGCCUUUGAUCACUCAAUAUACUUUGAUCACUCUAUAUA